UACGGAGGGUGCAAGCGUUAAUCGGAAUUACUGGGCGUAAAGCGCACGUAGGUGGUUUGUUAAGCUAGCUGUGAAAUCCCCGGGCUCAACCUGGGCACUGCAGUUAGAACUGGCAAGCUAGAGUAGGGUAGAGGGGUGUGGAAUUCCAGGUGUAGCGGUGAAAUGCGUAGAUAUCUGGAGGAACAUCAGUGGCGAAAGCGGCUUCCUGGACCAGUACCGACGUUCAGGCACGAAAGCGUGGGGAGCAAACAGG
rnacentral:rRNA from 1 species